CCGAUUCCGUACGAUGUCGACUUGGAGGUUGUUCCCUUGAGGAGUGGCUUCCGGAGCUAACGCGUUAAGUCGACCGCCUGGGGAGUACGGCCGCAAGGUUAAAACUCAAAUGAAUUGACGGGGGCCCGCACAAGCGGUGGAGCAUGUGGUUUAAUUCGAUGCAACGCGAAGAACCUUACCUACUCUUGACAUCCACGGAAUUUGGCAGAGAUGCCUUAGUGCCUUCGGGAACCGUGAGACAGGUGCUGCAUGGCUGUCGUCAGCUCGUGUUGUGAAAUGUUGGGUUAAGUCCCGCAACGAGCGCAACCCUUAUCCUUUGUUGCCAGCGAUUCGGUCGGGAACUCAAAGGAGACUGCCGGUGAUAAACCGGAGGAAGGUGGGGAUGACGUCAAGUCAUCAUGGCCCUUACGAGUAGGGCUACACACGUGCUACAAUGGCGCAUACAAAGAGAAGCGACCUCGCGAGAGCAAGCGGACCUCAUAAAGUGCGUCGUAGUCCGGAUCGGAGUCUGCAACUCGACUCCGUGAAGUCGGAAUCGCUAGUAAUCGUGGAUCAGAAUGCCACGGUGAAUACGUUCCCGGGCCUUGUACACACCGCCCGUCACACCAUGGGAGUGGGUUGCAAAAGAAGUAGGUAGCUUAACCUUCGGGAGGGCGCUUACCACUUUGUGAUUCAUGACUGGGGUGAAGUCG
rnacentral:rRNA from 1 species